rnacentral:rRNA from 1 species
CGGGAAACUGGGUCUAAUACCGGAUAGGACACAUGGCCGCAUGGUCUGUGUGUGGAAAGUUCCGGCGGUGCAGGAUGAGCCCGCGGCCUAUCAGCUUGUUGGUGGGGUGAUGGCCUACCAAGGCGACGACGGGUAGCCGGCCUGAGAGGGUGACCGGCCACACUGGGACUGAGACACGGCCCAGACUCCUACGGGAGGCAGCAGUGGGGAAUCUUGCGCAAUGGGCGAAAGCCUGACGCAGCAACGCCGCGUGGGGGAUGACGGCCUUCGGGUUGUAAACCUCUUUCGACAUCGACGAAGCCUUCGGGUGACGGUAGGUGUAGAAGAAGCACCGGCUAACUACGUGCCAGCAGCCGCGGUAAUACGUAGGGUGCGAGCGUUGUCCGGAUUUAUUGGGCGUAAAGAGCUCGUAGGCGGUUUGUCGCGUCGUUCGUGAAAACUGGAGGCUUAACCUUCAGCUUGCGGUCGAUACGGGCAGACUUGAGUUCGGUAGGGGAGACUGGAAUUCCUGGUGUAGCGGUGAAAUGCGCAGAUAUCAGGAGGAACACCGGUGGCGAAGGCGGGUCUCUGGGCCGAUACUGACGCUGAGGAGCGAAAGCGUGGGGAGCGAACAGGAUUAGAUACCCUGGUAGUCCACGCCGUAAACGU